CUCUUUAAGUAUAUUUAAUUUAAAGUAAAACCUGCUCAAUGAUAAUCUAUUAAAUAGCCGCUUAUAUUUUCAGUGCUAAGGUAGCAUAAUAAUUAGCUUCUUAAUUAGAAGAUAGAAUGAAAGGUCAAACGAAAUAUAAACUUUAUCUAAUAUAAAAAAUAAAAUUAAUAAAUAAGGUAAAAAUACCUUUAUUAUAACAAAAGAAGGACGACAAGACCCUGAUAAACUUAUCAUUUUGCUGGGGCGGCAAUCAAAAAAAACCUUAAUAUUACAAAUUCACAAAUUUCUAUAAAUAAUAUAAUUAAAGUUACUACAGGGAUAACAGCGCAAUUUUUUUUAAAAGAUCUAAUUCAAAAAAAAUAAUACGACCUCGAUGUUGAAUUAAUUUAUCUAUUUAAGUGCACAAACUAAAAAAGAAGGUCUGUUCGACCUAUUAAUAAUU
rnacentral:rRNA from 1 species